GUCUAUUUGGUGGUAUAAAUAGUCUGACCUGCUCACUGAUAAGUUUAUUUAAGAGCCGCGGUAUCUUGACCGUGCAAAGGUAGCAUAAUCAUUAGAGGUUUAAUUGGAAUCUGGAAUGAAGGGUUGGACAAAGAAGAGACUGUCUUUAUAGUAUAAAUUGAAAUUUACUUUUAAGUGAAAAGGCUUAAAUAGAUCAGGGGGACGAUAAGACCCUAUAAAGCUUUAUAAGUUAUUUGAAUUUGGUUAAUUUAAAGGAUAAAAAUUUAAUUUAUUUGUCUUAUUUUGUUGGGGUGAUGUGAGUAUAAGUGUUGUUAACUGCUUAAUAGAAAUACAAAUGUAAAUGGGUUAAUUAUAAUGAUCCUUUUUAAAGAUUAAAAGACUAAGUUACUUUAGGGAUAACAGCGUUAUUUCUUUUGAGAGUUCAUAUCGAAAAAGGAGAUUGCGACCUCGAUGUUGAAUUAAAAUAUCUAUAUAAUGCAGUCGUUAUAAAAGAGGGGUCUGUUCGACCUUUAAAUUUUU
rnacentral:rRNA from 1 species